CACGUAGGGCGCGAGCGUUGUCCGGAAUUAUUGGGCGUAAAGAGCUCGUAGGCGGCCUGUUGCGUCCGCUGUGAAAGCCCGGGGCUUAACCCCGGGUCUGCAUUCGAUACGGGUCUGCUGGGGUCCGGCAGGGGAGACUGGAAUUCCUGGUGUAGCGGUGAAAUGCGCAGAUAUCAGGAGGAACACCGGUGGCGAAGGCGGGUCUCUGGGCCAGUACCGACGCUGAGGAGCGAAAGCGUGGGGAGCGAACAGG
rnacentral:rRNA from 1 species